rnacentral:lncRNA from 1 species
ACCUCAUAAAGGGUGUUCCUAGCGUUUCGAAUGCUCCUUGGGAUUGAACCAACGAACUUGUUGUUGGCAAAGGUGAGAUAAUGGGCACGUGUGGAGCCAAGAUUGCCUGGAAGUCGCUGCUGGAAAUUGUUGUUGUUGAGGAAGAGGAGGUCAACAUCUAGGUUAAACACUUUUGGUGGAACCGUGGCGUUGAACGAGUUGAACCGGAGGUCCAAGAAGGUCAAGUUUGUGGCCGCAAGAGUUUCAUUUGGGAAGCCUCCAGUUAGCUUGUUGUUGCUGAGAUCAAGCUCAUAGAAGAAUCUGUGCCUGGCAGUGCCUCUAGGGACGGUGCCCGUGAAGUUGUUGGAGUUUGCAUGGAA